rnacentral:rRNA from 1 species
AUACGGAGGGUGCAAGCGUUACUCGGAAUCACUGGGCGUAAAGCGCGCGCAGGCGGCUUGGUAAGUUGGAUGUGAAAGCCUACGGCUCAACCGUAGAACUGCAUCCAAAACUGUCAAGCUAGAGUGUGGGAGAGGAAGAUGGAAUUAGUUGUGUAGGGGUAAAAUCCGUAGAGAUAACUAGGAAUACCAAAAGCGAAGGCAAUCUUCUGGGACACUACUGACGCUGAGGCGCGAAAGCGUGGGGAGCAAACAGGAUUAGAAACCCUUGUAGUCC